AAUGACUCCUAUGUCUCAGGCACCCUGUGCCCAUUUAAAAAAGAAAAAGGGCACAGGGUGCCUGAGACAUGGGAGACAUUUAGGAACC